CCUACGGGCGGCAGCAGUGAGGAAUAUUGGUCACUGGACGAGAGUCUGAACCAGCCAAGUAGCGUGAAGGAUGACUGCCCUAUGGGUUGUAAACUUCUUUUAUAUGGGAAUAAAAUGUUCCACGUGUGGGAUUUUGUAUGUACCAUAUGAAUAAGGAUCGGCUAACUCCGUGCCAGCAGCCGCGGUAAUACGGAGGAUCCGAGCGUUAUCCGGAUUUAUUGGGUUUAAAGGGAGCGUAGGUGGAUUGUUAAGUCAGUUGUGAAAGUUUGCGGCUCAACCGUAAAAUUGCAGUUGAAACUGGCAGUCUUGAGUACAGUAGAGGUGGGCGGAAUUCGUGGUGUAGCGGUGAAAUGCUUAGAUAUCACGAAGAACUCCGAUUGCGAAGGCAGUUCACUGGACUGCAACUGACACUGAGGCUCGAAAGUGUGGGUAUCAAACAGGAUUAGAUACCCCUGUAGUC
rnacentral:rRNA from 1 species